AUGGCAUGUGCUCAUCCACUGUUGUCAGUGUACUCUGAAAAAGGGGAGUCAUCUGGCAAAAAUGUCACUUUGCUUCCUGUAUUCAAGGCUCCCAUUUCACCAGAUAUUGUGAACUUUGUUCACACCAAUUUGCACAAAAACAACAGACAGCCCUAUCUUGUUACUGAGUCUUGAGGUACUGGCAGAGUUGGGUCUCACAUUCCCAGAGUUUGAGGUGGUGGGACUCACUGUUCUGGCCAGGGUGCUUUUGGAAAUAUCUGUCAUGGAGGCCACAUGUUUGCAGCAACCAAAACCUGGCACUGUUGGCACUGUAGAGUGAACACAGCCCAGAAAACGAUAUGCUAUCUGUUCUCCCCUGGGUGCCUCUGCCUUACCAGUGCUGGUCAUGUCUAAAGGUCAUCAUAUUAAGGAAGUUCCUGAACUUUUUUUGGUGGUCAGAGAUAAAGUUGAAGGCUACAAGACAAUCAAGGAGGCUGUUUUGCUACGUAAGAAACUUAAAGCCUGGAGUGAUCCAAAAAAGGGCUAUACCUCUCAGCAAAUGAGAGCUGGCAAGGGCAAAAUGAGAAACCAUUGUAUCCAGCACAAGGGACCCUGCAUCGUCUAUAAUGAAGAUAAUCAUAUUGUCAAAUCCUUGAGAAACAUUCCUGGAAUUACUCUGCUUAAUGGUAAGCAAACUGAACAUUUUGAAGCUUGCUCCUGAUGGGCAUGUGGGACGUUUCUGCAUUUGGACUGAAAGUUCUUUCUAGAAGUUAGAGAAUUGUGUGGCACUUGGUGUAAAGCUGCUUCCUCAAGAGUAAGUGCAGUCUUUCCAUGCACAAGAUGAUCAAUACAGACCUUAGCAGAAUCUUGAAAAGCCCAGACAUCCAAAGUCCUUCAAGCACGUUGCAGGAAGAUUCAUUGUAGAGUCCUGAGGAAGAACCUCCUGGAAAACCUGAGAAUCAUGUUGAAGCUAAACCCAUAUGCAAAGACCAUGCACUGAAACACCAUUCUUUGCCAGUCCAGCAAUCAUAAACUCUGGUUGGAGAAGGCAGCGGUGGCGGCGGUGGCGGCGGUGGCGGCGGUGGCAGCAGCAGCAGCAGCAGCAGCACUAGAGGCCAAAUCAGAUGAGAAAGGGGAUUGUAGUCAAGAAGCCUGUGGUAGGGAAGAAAGGAAAGAAGGUUGUUGGUGUUAAGCAGAAGAAACCUCUGGUGGGAAAAAGGGCAGUAGCUACCAACCAAGACAUCAGCAGCUGAAAAAAAAAACUUACCACAGAGGAAACGAAGCCUGCUGCAUAAACUGUUGGUUUAUUCCAUAAAGGUCGAAUAAUUUUGGACAGCUUAUUUUAAAUAAAGACCUGAUCAAUGAAAAAAAAAGUUAUUGCUCAUGGCAGGAAGCUUUUUGGAUGAAUCCUUCAGAGCUGUAGUAUGUAAUCUCUGAAUUAUUUAAGGGGAAUUAGGCCAUGUUUUCUCAGUUGGGAGAGUAAGGUUUUGUCCUGAAGAUUCUGAGGGUGUUUGCCAUUAUGAAUGUGUUUUGGUAGGGUUUAACCUCUAAAAUUAAGAGUAGUUGAAUGGCUAGGGUGGUUUAGUGGUUAAAGAAAAUUGGCAUUAUUCCUUUAGUAAUCUUUGUAUCCUCAUGGUUGAUGGAAAUAAUACAAUUUGUGCCUGGCAUUCCA